rnacentral:rRNA from 1 species
GAACGCUGGCGGCAUGCCUUACACAUGCAAGUCGAACGGCAGCGCGGGAGCAAUCCUGGCGGCGAGUGGCGAACGGGUGAGUAAUGCAUCGGAACGUGCCAUUGAGUGGGGAUAACGUAGCGAAAGUUACGCUAAUACCGCAUAUUCUGUGAGCAGGAAAGCAGGGGAUCGCAAGACCUUGCGCUCUUUGAGCGGCCGAUGUCAGAUUAGCUAGUUGGUGAGGUAAAGGCUCACCAAGGCUACGAUCUGUAGCGGGUCUGAGAGGAUGAUCCGCCACACUGGGACUGAGACACGGCCCAGACUCCUACGGGAGGCAGCAGUGGGGAAUUUUGGACAAUGGGGGCAACCCUGAUCCAGCCAUGCCGCGUGAGUGAAGAAGGCCUUCGGGUUGUAAAGCUCUUUCGGCCGGGACGAAAUCGCAUGGGCUAAUACCCUGUGUGGAUGACGGUACCGGAAUAAGAAGCACCGGCUAACUACGUGC